AUGAUCAGCAAAGUUAAGCCAUGUUGAGCCUGGUCAGUACUUAGAUGAGUGACCACUGGGGAAUACCAGCUGCUGUAAG